rnacentral:rRNA from 1 species
GGAUUAGAUACCCUGGUAGUCCACACCGUAAACGUUGGGCGCUAGGUGUGGGAUCCAUUCCACGGGUUCCGUGCCGCAGCUAACGCAUUAAGCGCCCCGCCUGGGGAGUACGGCCGCAAGGCUAAAACUCAAAGGAAUUGACGGGGGCCCGCACAAGCGGCGGAGCAUGCGGAUUAAUUCGAUGCAACGCGAAGAACCUUACCUGGGUUUGACAUGCACCGGGAUGUGCCAGAGAUGGUGCAGCUUUUGCUGGUGUGCAGGUGGUGCAUGGCUGUCGUCAGCUCGUGCCG